CCCAGAAUGAGGGGGCACUGCCAGGGGGCAGCACCCCCAGGUAAAGGGGCACCGGGGUCUGGGAGGGACACAGAGGCCAGCGGCAGGCAAGACACCGGCCUGCAGAGGGCGCUCUGGCUGGAAGAGCUAAUUCCCGAGACAACCAGCAGGAGGCGCUGCAUCGUAAAUUUUUCCUGCUGGUGGCACGUGUUGGAUUGAAAGCCCUGGAGACCAAAGUGCCAGAUGCAAAGAAAAAGGUAGCUGCAGUCUUCACUGACGUGCUUCAGCUCUGACUGGGAGGGGCCGUGUCGAUGGGCAUCUUCCCCAGUAAGAACCAUCCGAGGCGUCUGGACGGUGGAGAACAAAAUCCAGGCGGUAGCACAGCAUCAGCCACCCUGGACGUGUUGCGGUUGUCCCUGGGGCUGGGCCAGAUUAAACACCGCAAGGCUUCCCAAACGUUCCAGUUUCUGUUUGACCAGCGCUGUUUUUUUUUUUCCAGCUGGAACUGUGCCAGCGAACCAAAAAAUCUGUUAUUCACCCAGCACUUACUUCAUGGGCUUAUCGGCGCCCUCUCCUGGUGGCAGAAUGGAAGAUUAAGAAACACACAGCUGGGCGAACGAAACAGGAACAAACAAGAGUCCAGCUCCCUUUAGUAUCUACUAUCUGCCUUGCUCCUCCCAAGUGGCAGGGACAGCAUGGGAGAAAACACAAAGGGGCUUAUUUUUUUUUAAAUGUAACAUGUGGGCAUCGUGGGCCAAUGAAAGGCCAGCUUGAUUGUGAAAGAGAGAUGAUGGGGGUGGUGGAGACUGACCGUGAAGGGCCUGGAAAGUACAGACAAGGUAGUUGAGAAGCUAUGACUCUGUGUGUCCCGUUCAGCAUUUCUGCAGUGUUAAUCCCGUGUUUCUGACGUCCCCACCAAGGCAGCCUUCUGGGAUCUGUGUGGAUAUCAAGGGAGCGAGGAACCCUGAGUACUUUCUCUGGAGCAAAGAGGAUUAAGAAUGAGAAGGUUAACUCUGCUUAACUCUAGAAUAACUCCAUUGAAAUGAACAGAGUGACACUCCACGAAAAGUGUGUGUUAAUGCAGCGCUGGUGAAAUUGCUGGAUUGAAAAACCCUGGAGAUUCAAGCCUUGGUACAACACAGGCGUUGGCCGUGCAAGCUUCUCCCGCUGUUGGACUUCACUUCCCUAUGGGUUCAUCUUUGGCCUUUCUGCUGUGGCUGUUGACAGUGGACUUAGUGGCUGCAGUGGCACUGGUUUGUUGGGAAAACCCAGAACUCUGAACAGAACAGCAACACGAGUGCUGCACCUGAUACAGCUGCUAACUGCUGCCAGCGUUUGCUGUAGAGAACUGAGCUUCCAUAAAGAAUCAACUGCUUUCCACCAGGCCCAGGUUACCUGAAGGCUGUCUGCAGCAACCCUAGAAAAGGCAGCAGAGCAAAGCCGUGAUCUUGGCCCCAACUGAGCCCAAGGACUUGGAAUAAAAAGGCCGGAAAUAAGGACAAAAGCUUCUCACAAGCCAUAUUCAUAAAGAGCUUUACAAGAGCUGUCAGAUAGCAUUGGCUUGGAAGUGUUUCUAUCAUUUUAAAAACUAUUUUUCCCUAUGGAAACAUUUUAUAGAUUUUAAUGACAGGGUAGAAACCAGUGGGGUUCUAUAGAAAUCUCUCUAAAUCACCUAUAGCCAGGGGUUCUCAACCUUUUUCUGUCUGAGGCCCCCCACCCCAAAAAAACGUGCUAUAAAAACUCCACGGCCCACCUGUGCCACAACAACCGGUUUUCUGCAUAUAAAGGCCAGGGCCAGGGCUGGCAUUAAGGGGUAGCAAGCAGGGCAGUUGUCCAGGGCCCCAUGCCACAGGAGGCACCACGAAGCUCAGCUGCUCAGGCGUCUGCUUCAGCCCCAGGAGGUGGGGCUUGGACCCCAGGCUUCAGCCCCAUGCAGUGGGACUUCGGCUUUCUGCCCUGGGCCCCAGCAAGUCUAACACUGGUCCUGCUUGGUGGACCCCCUGAAACCUGCUAGCGCCUUCCAGGGGCCCCCGGAGCCCUGGUUGAGAACCACUGACCUAUAGAAUGUAACAGAGAAAUUUCAGCUUUCGGCAGAAUUCUUAAAACAACGUAUGGAGUUUAAAAGGGAUCCAGUGCACAGAAUACUGGAGUCAGGAGACCUUGAUACUGUUCCAGACCCUGCCACUGAGCUGCUGUGCAACUGUAGGCAAGUCACUUACCCUCUCUGUGUCUCAGUUUCCCCACCUGUAAAAUGGAGAUAAUGCUCCUUACCUUCCGAAAAUCUUUUGAAAAAUGCUACCAAGAGCUAGAUUAUUAUGUUGUUUUAUUAAUUAUAUCUCUUCUUAUGGACUAAAAAUUGUGCCUCUCAGCUCACGACAUCUAAGGACAGAAAGUAAAAUAUUUACCUCAUUUAUCCCUCCCUGAUCCCCUUCCUGUGGUGUUGAUGCCAAAUUUAGCCAACAGAUAAGAUUUCAAGUAUUCAGAAAAGCUCAUUGGAUGCAGUGUCCAAAUGAUCAGAGUUUCACAAGGAUAUCAACAUUCACAUCAGAGCAAAACAAAGAUGAGGAAAGGAUUUUUUAAAAAAAUCUGUGUUCCUCUUCUCUAUCUUGUCCUCUGCAGACUUCCUCUUGUUCUCUCAGGGGAUGGCCCGUAGGCGAGAACCUCACUCAUUAGAUCAACCAGUGUCCUCAUGGUGUGUCUUGAAGACCUGAUUUAAAUAGAAAAGGCAAUAAACCCUUCUGGUAAUAACUGAGAACUCAGCUAUUCUCCCCAAUGUGUAUUUAUUCCUGGGCAGAUCACUCCCGGGUGAGGGAUGCAUACUCCAUGUUGAGUCUUUUUCAGAAAACUGUAUUUUUGGAAAUAUUGCUAGGGAGCAUCAGGCUAGCAUCCUAACAUCACCCCAGUGCUCAGGGCAAGGUGCAGUUACUGAAAUGCCCGUACUUGCCAUUAGCUAUUCCACAAGCAGCAGAACAGGAAUGGCAACAUCUCUGGAAAGAGUCUGAAUUUGAUUCUUUCAUUUAACACUUGAGCUCAUUCAAAAAGAGAAAAAAACAGCCUCCCCUAUAAACACUGGAUGUUGCAUUAUGGGAGGAAAAUAGUCUUUGCAUGCAGUUUCAUCUGCUCUUAUUGUGCUAAUUAUAAUCCAGCCAGAAACCAAGCCUAUGUGUAUGAUCACUAGUGUUGCGAAUAAAGACAAUGUUGUUCUUUCAGUGCUUUAAAAAACCAACAAUAUGUUCACACUUUUACUGUUCCUCGAAAACUAGCCAGCUAAUAAAAAGAAGAUUGACUCACUGGACACGCAUUGUACAGUCGCUGCUUUUAAAGGAACGUCUGUGCCUCCUAAGUGAGUUAGAUGCCAACGUAUUUAGAUGA